UGGGGAACUUUGGACAAUGGGGGAAACCCUGAUCCAGCCAUCCCGCGUGUGCGAUGAAGGCCUUCGGGUUGUAAAGCACUUUUGGCAGGAAAGAAACGUCGCGGGUUAAUACCCCGCGAAACUGACGGUACCUGCAGAAUAAGCACCGGCUAACUACGUGCCAGCAGCCGCGGUAAUACGUAGGGUGCAAGCGUUAAUCGGAAUUACUGGGCGUAAAGCGUGCGCAGGCGGUUCGGAAAGAAAGAUGUGAAAUCCCAGAGCUUAACUUUGGAACUGCAUUUUUAACUACCGGGCUAGAGUGUGUCAGAGGGAGGUGGAAUUCCGCGUGUAGCAGUGAAAUGCGUAGAUAUGCGGAGGAACACCGAUGGCGAAGGCAGCCUCCUGGGAUAACACUGACGCUCAUGCACGAAAGCGUGGGGAGCAAACAGGAUUAGAUACCCUGGUAGUCCACGCCCUAAACGAUGUCAACUAGCUGUUGGGGCCUUCGGGCCUUGGUAGCGCAGCUAACGCGUGAAGUUGACCGCCUGGGGAGUACGGUCGCAAGAUUAAAACUCAAAUGAA
rnacentral:rRNA from 1 species